rnacentral:rRNA from 1 species
GACGAACGCUGGCGGCGUGCUUAACACAUGCAAGUCGAACGGAAAGGCCCUUCGGGGUACUCGAGUGGCGAACGGGUGAGUAACACGUGGGUGAUCUGCCCUGCACUUUGGGAUAAGCCUGGGAAACUGGGUCUAAUACCGAAUAGGACCACGCGCUUCAUGGUGUGUGGUGGAAAGCUUUUGCGGUGUGGGAUGGGCCCGCGGCCUAUCAGCUUGUUGGUGGGGUAAUGGCCUACCAAGGCGACGACGGGUAGCCGGCCUGAGAGGGUGACCGGCCACACUGGGACUGAGAUACGGCCCAGACUCCUACGGGAGGCAGCAGUGGGGAAUAUUGCACAAUGGGCGCAAGCCUGAUGCAGCGACGCCGCGUGAGGGAUGACGGCCUUCGGGUUGUAAACCUCUUUCAAUAGGGACGAAGCGCAAGUGACGGUACCUAUAGAAGAAGAACCGGCCAACUACGUG